rnacentral:miRNA from 4 species
AAGAGAGCUGUCCGUCGACA